UCUAUUGUGGCAGAAAAUUGCGAUGAAUUUAAGAUUCCUACAUAAAUACUAUUAUUUCUAUAGAA
rnacentral:tRNA from 1 species